GCCUUGGAAGAAAUCCUGAAGAAAGGUGAGAAGAUUCUUUGUUUUACACAUUAAACACAAAACAAACCAACCGAGUGAGAGUUGCCAUGGCAAUAAUGGAAGUAUGGCAUUGUUUUUUAAGGCACACAAUUUAAGUGUUCAGUUUGUCACAAGUUUUUACCUUCUUUUUGAAUAAUGCUGUUCUCAAGGAAAAUAUUGGAAAGGACUCAUAAAACACUAUCAGUAUUUAAACUGA
rfam:Oryctolagus cuniculus cont2.52254, whole genome shotgun sequence.